AAUUCAUGAUGGGGACAUGAACGCAACAAUUCCUUGAGGCGUUCAAAUGCAUCAUGAAAUUCUUCAUUGGGUUUUUGUGCAAAAUCGUGUAUAGCUUUUCUUAUUUC